rnacentral:rRNA from 1 species
GAUGAACGCUGGCGGCGUGCCUAAUACAUGCAAGUCGAGCGAACGGACGAGAAGCUUGCUUCUCUGAUGUUAGCGGCGGACGGGAGAGGAACACGUGGAUAACCUACCUAUAAGACUGGGAUAACUUCGGGAAACCGUAGCUAAUACCGGAUAAUAUUUUGCACCGCAUGGUUCAAAAGUGAAAGACGGUCUUGCUGUCACUUAUAGAUGGAUACGCGCUGCAUUAGCUAGUUGGUAAGGUAACGGCUUACCAAGGCAACGAUGCAUAGCCGACCUGAGCGGGUGGUCCGCCACCUGGGAACAGAGGCAGGGUCCCGACUCCGAGAGGAGGCAGCAGUAGGGAAUCUUCCGCGAUGGGGGAGAGCGUGACGGAGCAACGCCGCGUGAGUGAUGAAGGUCUUCGGAUCGUAAAACUCUGUUAUUAGGGAAGAACAUAUGUGUAAGUACCUGUGCUCAUCUUGACGGUACCGAAUCAGAAAGCUACGGCUAACUCCGUG